rnacentral:rRNA from 1 species
UACGAAGGGGGCUAGCGUUGCUCGGAAUUACUGGGCGUAAAGCGCGUGUAGGUGGAUUGGUGUGUCAGAUGUGAAAGCCCUGGGCUCAACCCAGGAACUGCACCUGAAACUACCAGUCUUGAGUGGUGGAGAGGGAAGUGGAAUUCCUGGUGUAGAGGUGAAAUUCGUAGAUAUCAGGAGGAACACCAGUGGCGAAGGCGGCUUCCUGGACACCAACUGACGCUGAGACGCGAAAGCGUGGGGAGCAAACAGG